UUGGUAGCAAACUUCUGCCCUCAGGGGAUCCUCCAUUUGUGUUGUAAGCCUCCCUUCGCUCGGACAUGGUGAACGGGUAUUGGUAACGCGGGCGUUACCACUACAGAUGGAGGUUCCUACCGAGAUCUGAGUAAGAAGGACCAGCUGACGGACACUCUUGGAAGGCCGGCCGGCAUUUUACAG